UACAGAGGUGGCAAGCGUUGUUCGGAAUUACUGGGCGUAAAGGGCGCGUAGGCGGCCUUCUAAGUCGGACGUGAAAGCCCCAGGCUUAACCUGGGAACUGCGUCCGAUACUGGGAGGCUUGGAUUCGGGAGAGGGAUGUGGAAUUCCAGGUGUAGCGGUGAAAUGCGUAGAUAUCUGGAGGAACACCAAUUGCGAAGGCAGCUCGCUGGGACGUUACUGACGCUGAGACGCGAAAGCGUGGGGAGCAAACAGG
rnacentral:rRNA from 1 species